rnacentral:lncRNA from 1 species
GCGUGUGCACGCUCUUUUCCAAACAAUCUGAGCUCCCUCUGGCAGGUUAGAAGAGCUGUCUAAUCCCAUGACCUGUCCUCCCACACAGGAGAAAUUCUGCACCAUAAGUUGGGGUGAAGGAAGUUGGUGAACACAUACUCUGGCCAAAAUAAUACUGAUUUUGCUGUUUUUAUUAAGAUUCAAUUUAGAUUCUCUUACACUAAAUGCUUCUUAAUGUUCAUAUCCUUUGGUCAAUUUCCAGAGUCUUUAAAUGAUUGUUUUUGGCAACUUUGUCCAGUGUUAUCAUUGCUUUUCAGAUUCGCUGAAAUGUUUUAAUGUCAAUAUAUGUGGUAUAUUUUUAUGUACUUUCUAUGUGAAUUUGAAAAUAAUCUGUAUAUAGCAUUUGGUACAUACACGCUUAGGAGUAUAUGUCUUUUUGAUGUAUUGACUCUUUUUCAUUAUGAAAAACUUAUCUCCAGUAAUAUUACUUAUUUGUAAAGUUUCCUUUAUCUGAUAUUAAUGUAGCCACUGCAGCUUUCUUGCCUGGUGUAUUUUUUUUCAUCCUUAUAUUUUUAACCUAUGUUUUCAUAUUUAAAAUGCAUUUCUUAUGGACAGGGGUCAAAAGUCUUACUUAUUUAUCCAGUUUAGAAAUAUGCAUUUAAUGUAAUUACUGAAGUACUGGAUUUAAGUCUACCACCUUGCUGCUUUUUGUUUUUGGCCCAUCUGUUCUUUUCCUUUUAUUCCUCUUUACUUGCCUUUCUUAGUAUAUUUUUCUCUCUCCUAAUGGUAACUGAGUAGAGAGAUGUCAGAACUUAGAUCUUUAAGAUUUGUGGAACUUUAAAAAAUAUUUUAUUUUAUUUUAUUUUAUUUUAUUUGAGACAGAGUCUUGCUCUGUUGCCCAAACUGGAGUGCAGUGGUGCAAAAUUUGUAGAACUUGAGUGGAAAAUCCUAAAUAAGAAUACCACAGAGGGAAGCCCAAAAUUCUGCAUUUGAAAGACAUUUGCAUGCAGAAUAGGGGUCCCUCUUUGAGUUUUCAUCUUUUAGGGGGAUUUUUCUCCUCAAUAGCAACUCAUUCUUUCAGCACCAAACUCCAACCUCCGUCUUCUCUUCCUGCUGACCACAUGGGCACUUAUGGCACAAAUGUCUACCAGACAUAUGGUGCCUUCAGCCAGUUUACACAUGAAUUUAAUGGAAAUGAGCUGUUCUCUGUGGACCUGAGGAAAAAGGGAGACUGUGUGGAGGCUGCCUAAGUUCAGCAAUUUUACCAGGUUUGAAACACAGAAUGCCUUGAGAAACAUAAUUGUGGCCAAAAGAAAUUUAGACAUCUUGAUUAAAGAAUCUAACUUUACACCCACCACAAACGGUAAGUGUCUACAGUUCUAAUUGUCGUCACUCCAUGUAGCUCACAUUCCAGGUCUCAUCUCUGCCUUCUCCAGGGAUAGCUUCUCUUCCCAUUUCACUAUAAAUUCUUCCUCCUUCCCAUUAUAUUUCCUGGAAAAUACUAAUUUCACAUCAUAUUCAUUUAAUCUUUAAACAUCUUUUCCUGAGGUUCCAUGAGAUACUCAUUGUAUUCCUAUAUAAGAAUGUUCCCAAUAUAGGAGGUUCCAAGAUGGCCCAAUAGGAAUAGCUGCAGUCUGCAGCUCCCAGCAUGAGCCACGCAGAAGACAGGUGAUUUCUGCAUUUCCAACUGAGGUAGCAAGUUCAUCUCACUGGGGCUUGUCAGACAGUAGGUGCAGCCCCUGGAGCUGGGCACAGCAUCUCCUCACCCAGGAAGCACAAAUGGGUUGGGAAAUUCCCUUUCCUAGCAAAGGGAAGCUGUGACAGACAGUACCUGGAAAUCGGGACACUCCCACCUUAAUACUGUACUUUUCCAAUGGCCUUAGAAAAUGGCACACUAAGAGAUUAUAUACUGCAACUGGCUCGGAGGGACCCAAGCCCAUGGAGCCUCAC